CAUCUCUCUUUUCUCUCUCAAUUGGAGCCGAUACUCUCCCUCGCCGCACAAGACUUCUCCCUCUCUCUCGCCCGUCCUUUCUCUUCGCGAGCUUCGCUGCGAAUUGCUCCGGCGACUGCAGCAGCUAAGCUGCCGCCAACCGAGACUUCGAUCGAAGCAGCCGCCAAACUGCCAAGGUCGCCGUUUGAAACUCUUUUCCGUCUCCGAGGUCCACCGCCGCCGCCGCGGAACCGGCGACUCAGUCGGCGCCGGUUACACCUGCUUCUCUUUCUCCCCGUCUCUAACGUGAAGGGGAUCGAAAGCUCUAAAUAUCCCCUGAAGUUUCAGACCGGUUUUCUCCCUCAAAUCCGAUCUGUCUUCCUUCUCCGGUUACACCGCUGCCGCCUGCUCCGAGCGGCGUCGACUGUCGACGCGUCAAAGCCCCGGCGCCGUCCUCUCUUUCGGCCCUCCGGCUCAACUCCGGCAAAGCAGCCCGUCGUCGCUGCAACUGGAAGGUCGGGAGAUUCGCCGUGUCGCUGCUUCGAUCCGCCACCGCCUUGAGCUAUCGCCGUUGUCUGGAGCUGCUGCUGUUUCACCGGAGUCGCGGCUUGCUGGAGGAGCGCCGCCGCCUGCCGCUGCUGUUGGCCAGCCUUCUUCCUAUCUCUCCCUCUCGAUCCGGCCUCAGCCGAAGCGGGUGCCGCCGCCGCUGCCGUCUGUGGAAGACCGGCGAGCGCCUCCUCUUCCCUCCGCCGACCAGCUUCUCGUCCAGCCGCCAUCCACCCACUGCUAUCUCUGGAUCGACAGCAGUAGGAGCACCAGGCCACCGUCGUCGUUGAUUCCCCGAGCCGUCGCCUGAUCAUCGCUUCUUGGCUCGAUCGAACAGGCUGCGUCCUUGUUCCCUAAAGCUAAGUCCUACUUCCUUAUUUCCUAGUUUCUAGUUGUUAAGGGCAGAAUACUCAUGGUUUGUUGUUCUAGAGCGUAAAGUAACAAUGAGUGAAUCAUAACAUAGUUGAAAUGCCAUAGCUUGAACAUGUUGACAUGAAUGCUUGAUUGGAUUGAAAUAACUGAGGUCGCAUAAAUACCUUGAGUAUCUAGCUUGUUGGUUGGCUGUUGUGGUAUUGAUGAUUGAGAUGGGGAAUAACUGAAAUACAUGAAGGUGUUAUUGCUUUAAAAUGCAGGUGGAGGUUAUGGCAGGAGGUGGAAACGUUCAAGCCGAAGCUUACCUUGAGGAUUUGGCGGAAGUUGGGCAGCUCUUUCUCUCCUGUUAUGAAGUCUCAAAUGAACUGAAGCUUGUUCAAGUAUGGCAGCAGGGAAGUCGACGCUGCUGUUGCAAUGGAAGAAGAUGAUGGAUAAAUGCCAAGGUUUACCUUAGAGCUUUGGUAGGAACAUGGGGGCUGUUCUUCGAUUCUCAUUUCAGUGAAAUGAGUUGAGAGUAAGGAACUGCAUUUGUUGGCUGGCUGAUACUAGAGAAAAUGAUGUUGCACACUUGAGUGAUGAGUGGUGGGAAAAAUGAUGAGUGAUGGGGGAAAGUGGUUGGGAAAGAGUGAAUGGUUGGGGUGAAAAAUGAGUGGUCAAAGAUUGAUGGAAAUAAAAAGAAAAAUAAUAGAGAAGAAUUAAUGUUGUAUUUUCUAUGUCUCGGUGAUUCCGUAACUGAAAUAAAAUACUGGCUUCGAUUCUGC